rnacentral:rRNA from 1 species
GUAUCAUGGCUCAGGAUGAACGCUAGCGACAGGCUUAACACAUGCAAGUCGAGGGGCAGCACAGGUAGCAAUACCGGGUGGCGACCGGCGCACGGGUGAGUAACGCGUAUGCAACUUACCUAUCAGAGGGGGAUAACCCGGCGAAAGUCGGACUAAUACCGCAUGAAGCAGGGGCCCCGCAUGGGGAUAUUUGCUAAAGAUUCAUCGCUGAUAGAUAGGCAUGCGUUCCAUUAGGG